ensembl:lncRNA novel transcript
ACCCCUGCCCAGCAGCUGCAGGAGAAUCAGCCCCUCUGACAUUUAGGGGGAGAAAUUCAGAAUCAAGAGCAGAAGGCAGAAAUGAAAGGAUUUUCUCAGUGAAAGGCCACCAGGCCCUCGGGUUCCAAGAUGCAGCUACUGGAGACAGAGUUCUCGCACACCGUGGGCGAGCUCAUCGAGGUGCACCUGCGGCGCCAGGACAGCAUCCCUGCCUUCCUCAGCUCGCUCACCCUCGAGCUCUUCAGCCUCCAGACCGUGGCGUAGCCUGCGCCUCGGGGGCAUAGCCAGAGCCACUCUACUUGGCCUGACCUGCAGGUCCCUUGCCCCGCCAGCCACAGGCUGGGUGCACGUCCUGCCUCUCCAGCUCCACAGGGCAGCGGCAUGACUGACAGACACGCUGGGACCUACGUCGGGCUUCCUGCUGGGGCGGCCAGCACCCUCCCCACGUGCAGACCCCAUGCGUCCCGGAGCCUGGUGUGUGGGCGUCGGCCACCAGCCCGGGCUCCUCACCUUGUGAAAUAAAAUCUUCUCCCCUAGACACUCCCACUCGCCCUGUGUAUCUGUGGCCUAGCCCUAGCAGGGUAGG